GACGAACGCUGGCGGCGUGCUUAACACAUGCAAGUCGAACGGAAAGGCCUGCUUUCCCUUGUGGAUUGCGGGUACUCGAGUGGCGAACGGGUGAGUAACACGUGAGUGAUCUGCCCCCAACUUGGGUAUAAGCCUGGGAAACUGGGUCUAAUUCCCGAUAGGACUGCAGGGUGGUGCCUGUGGUGGAAAACGAUUUUCUAGUGGUCGGGGAUGAGCUCGCGGCCUAUCAGCUUGUUGGUGGGGUAAUGGCCUACCAAGGCGGCGACGGGUAGCCGGCCUGGGAGGGUGGACGGCCACAUUGGGACUGAGAGACGGCCCAGACUCCUACGGGAGGCAGCAGUGGGGAAUAUUGCACAAUGGGCGGAAGCCUGAUGCAGCGACGCCGCGUGGGGGAUGACGGCCUUCGGGUUGUAAACUCCUUUCGACCGCGAGGAAGCCACCUGGUUGGAAGGGUGGUGACGGUAGUGGUAGAAGAAGCACCGGCUAACUACGUG
rnacentral:rRNA from 1 species